AGGCUUAACACAUGCAAGUCGAGCGCCCCGCAAGGGGAGCGGCAGACGGGAGAGUAACACGUGGGAACGUACCUUUCAGUACGGAACAACCAAGGGAAACUUUGGCUAAUACCGUAUACGCCCGUAAGGGGAAAGAUUUAUCGCUGAAAGAUCGGCCCGCGUCUGAUUAGCUAGUUGGUGGGGUAAUGGCCCACCAAGGCGACGAUCAGUAGCUGGUCUGAGAGGAUGAUCAGCCACACUGGGACUGAGACACGGCCCAGACUCCUACGGGAGGCAGCAGUGGGGAAUAUUGGACAAUGGGGGAAACCCUGAUCCAGCCAUGCCGCGUGAGUGAUGAAGGCCUUAGGGUUGUAAAGCUCUUUCGUCAGGGAAGAUAAUGACGGUACCUGAAGAAGAAGCCCCG
rnacentral:rRNA from 1 species